ensembl:lncRNA
GCAUGAGUCGACACUGACGUUAGUGUGUGAGUGUAUGUGUAGAGUUUAGGUCAGUGUGUGCGUGUGUAUGUGAGUGUACAUGCAGGGUUUAGGUCAGUGUCAGUGUGUGUGUGUGAGUGUAUAUGUAGGGUUUAGGUCAGUGUGUGUGUGGAUAUACGUGUGAAGCUCUGAGUCUCAAACAACAGCAGGAAAGGGCUCACUCCAUGGCCAUAGGAAAUUACAUCAGCACAAAUCUGCAGCUGCCAGGAAGUGUACAGAAUGAAAAGUGUGUGAAGGAAAUGUCCUGAAGUUUGAAGAAAGUAGGAGGAGGAGGAGAUCAUAUGAGCUUUGAUUCAUCUGAGAACUCCACCAGUCAGUCUCGAGAAUGUUCAUGGAUACGAUUUGUUUACGGUUUGAAAGAAUUGAUCGAUCAUCAGGUAAAUAAGCGCAUGAUUAUUUUCAGGUUUUUUUUUUUUAGAAGUAUUUUGUGUGUAUAAUAGUGUAUAUGAUGUUAUUAUAUGGUCAUACUUUUACAUUUUUAAAAGAUUGUUCAUUAAAACCGAGACAUUUCUUUUUAUAUUCCCUUCACAAACUGUUCAAUGUCAUCUCUUAACAUUGUAAUGCCUGAUUUUAACAAUAAUUGAGGAGACAUAGUAGUAAUAAUAAUAAUAGUGACUAAUAACUACCUGGAUAGGAUCUUUUUGUUUAUUUAAGUCGAUUACUUUACAGUUGGUUUAAAUGAUAAAUGGGACCGACAGGAAAAUAGUGCAGAUAAAUCCUAAAUCUUAAACUAAAUCCUGUAUUAUGAGGUUAAAAAAUGCAUCAGGAAAUGAAAGCUGAAAUCCUGAUCCAUCGUCUCAUGGUCAUCUUUGAUCUCGAACCCAAAUGCCUUCAGUGUAACGUGAAAACAAAAGAUCUAGUCUUGCGGUUCCAGUACUUUCGGAGCAGGACUUUAGUGGAUUUUGUUUAUUUAUCUUGAAAGGUUCCAAUACUUAUGGAGUUCUACAGUACACAAAGCUUUACAAUGAUCUUUUUUUUCUUAUAUGAGUGAAGAAAGAU